CUUUGGCUAUAUGGGUGUACUCUACACCUAUGGCUGCAUCAUUGUAAGAAGAUGACACACAUUAAGUUCAAGAUACGCUGGAGUCUGUUACACUAAUCCAUUAUCGUGGAUUUAACCAGACGUUUUAGAUGUACGUGUAUCAUAUGAUGACUCAAAUUGAACUGAUGUGUCACCUGUCUUGAGAAAGGUCCGGUUACGGACCGAAACGUCGACACGAUUAAAGCUUCGGUGACGAUUGAUUUUA